rnacentral:rRNA from 1 species
AAUAGAUACCCCGGUAGUCCACGCCCUAAACGAUGUCUACUAGUUGUUGGUGGAGUAAAAUCCAUUAGUAACGCAGCUAACGCGUGAAGUAGACCGCCUGGGGAGUACGGUCGCAAGAUUAAAACUCAAAGGAAUUGACGGAGGCCCGCACAAGCGGUGGAUUAUGUGGAUUAAUUCGAUGCAACGCGAAAAACCUUACCUGGCCUUGACAUGCCACUAACGAAGCAGAGAUGCAUUAGGUGCCCGAAAGGGAAAAUGGACACAGGUGCUGCAUGGCUGUCGUCAGCUCGUGUCGUGAGAUGUUGGGUUAAGUCCCGCAACGAGCGCAACCCUUGCCAAUAAUUGCCAUCAUUCAGUUGGGCACUUUAUUGGGACUGCCGGUGACAAACCGGAGGAAGGUGGGGAUGACGUCAAGUCCUCAUGGCCCUUAUGGCCAGGGGCUUCACACGUAAUACAAUGGUCGGUACAGAGGGUAGCCAAGCCGCGAGGUGGAGCCAAUCCCAGAAAGCCGAUCGUAGUCCGGAUUGCAGU